CCUACGGGGGGCUGCAGUGGGGAAUAUUGGACAAUGGGGGCAACCCUGAUCCAGCCAUGCCGCGUGUGUGAAGAAGGCCCUCGGGUUGUAAAGCACUUUCAGUGAGGAAGAACGCCUGGUGGUUAAUACCCAUCAGGAAAGACAUCACUCACAGAAGAAGCACCGGCUAACUCCGUGCCAGCAGCCGCGGUAAUACGGAGGGUGCGAGCGUUAAUCGGAAUUACUGGGCGUAAAGCGCGCGUAGGUGGCUUGAUAAGCCGGUUGUGAAAGCCCCGGGCUCAACCUGGGAACGGCAUCCGGAACUGUCAAGCUAGAGUGCAGGAGAGGAAGGUAGAAUUCCCGGUGUAGCGGUGAAAUGCGUAGAGAUCGGGAGGAAUACCAGUGGCGAAGGCGGCCUUCUGGACUGACACUGACUCUGAGGUGCGAAAGCGUGGGUAGCAAACAGGAUUAGAUACCCUGGUAGUC
rnacentral:rRNA from 1 species